AUAUUUAUAGUAUAAACUAUUACAUUAGCUUUUCAAGCUAAAAACAUGCCCCGCAUUAAAUAUU
rnacentral:tRNA from 1 species